CCUACGGGUGGCUGCAGUGGGGAAUAUUGGGCAAUGGAGGCAACUCUGACCCAGCAACGCCGCGUGAAUGAUGAAGGUCCUCGGAUUGUUAAGCUCCGUGAUGGGGGAUGCAAACACUGACGGUACUCCAAUAGUAAGCCUCGGCUAACUACGAGCCAGCAGCCGCGGUAAUACGUAGGGGGCAAGCGUGAGCCGGAAUGACUGGGUGUAAAGGGUGCGUAGGUGGUUUAGUAAGUUAGCGGUGUAAUUCCGGGGCUCAACCUCGGCGCUGCCGCAAAAACUAUUAGACUAGAGUGCAGGAGAGGUAAGUGGAAUUCCUGGUGUAGCGGUGAAAUGCGUAGAUAUUAGGCAGAACAUCGAGGGCGAAGGCAGCUUACUGGACUAUAACUGACGCUGAGGCACGAAAGCGUGGGGAGCAAACAGGAUUAGAUACCCCAGUAGUC
rnacentral:rRNA from 1 species